AAAUAGAAAAGAUAAACGAAAGAGAAAAUUGGACCAAUGAAUAAAGUGUUUUAUUCAAAUAUGAUCUCUUGAGGAAAGAAAGAUAAACUCAAUUUCUAAUCUCUUCUCUUUUUUUGCAGAAAGGAAAAACAAUCCUAUUUAAAAGCAACUACAAUAACUAGUAGCUAAAAACAAGGAACCACUAACUAUGAACAUUAAUGCAUUAAUC
rnacentral:lncRNA from 1 species